AAGAAAAUUGUCUUUAAAAAGCGACGAAAUAUUUUUUUUUAAAAAAGAAAGCACGGUAGUCUUUAAAAAGAAAUUAAAUGCAUAGAAGUAAAUUGUCAAACGGCGUCAAAGUGCGGUUUGUCGGGACGUGUAUGCUCCGAGCCAUUGGUUUACGCAGGGUAGUAUCCAUCCAACCGUGUCAGAAUUUUGCGAGGCCCAAAUCAAACUUGCAGUUCUGCGGAAGCAGGACAAUGAGGAGGGGUGGACCGAUUUGCAAAGCAUUUGGGCCUCAAGAUUGGGAUUAACAGUGGAAAACCCAAAAAAAAAUAUGGACAUCAUUCGUCUGAAGUUUUUUUUUUUGGGAAGGAUCAUUCAUCUAAAGUUCAAUUCCAUUUUCCGUCUGUCUGAAAAUUACAAGUAAUUAUCUUGAUGAAUAAGAAGUUGAAACUAUUAAACUAUAAUGAGGAAAAAAAAACAUAAAAUUACUAUUUGAUACUGGAAUUUUUAUCGCUACAUUUUUACUACUAAUAAAACUAACACACGGAUGUCUUCACUAGGGCUGCAAACGAGCCGAGUCGAGUCGAGUUUUGAGCUAAUCGAGCCGAGCCUCGAUUAAAUUUUACCAAGCUCGAGCUCGAGCUCGAGCUGGACGAGCUGGCAAUUUUCGAGCUCGAGCUCGAAAAAAAUAAAAAAAAAAAUUAUUUUAUUUUUAAAAAAAUAAAAAAAUAAUAUUUUUUUCUGAAUAAAUAAUAAAAUAUUAAGGAUAUAUAGGUAAUUUCACUAUGAAAAUAAAAAAUUAAAAUAUAUUUAUAUACAAUAUACGUAAUUUUAUUAUUAAAUAAAAAUAAAAUAUAUAUAUAAAUAUAUAUACUCAAGCUCGCGAGCUAACGAGCUUAAUAUUCUGAGCUCGAGUUCGAGCUCGAGUUUGACUCGAGCUGGCUCGAGCUCGACUCGAGCUGGCUCGAGCUCGACUCGAGCUUGACUUGAGCCGCUCGCGAGCGGCUCGAUUCGUUUGCAGCCCUAGUCUUCACCAUCUUCCAAUUGUUCUGCACAUAUAUUUUCUUAAUAUUUUCCUUAACCACUUUAUGUAACUAAAUUGAAUUAAAUCAUUCUUAAAGUGUUGAGAUUUAUAAAAUAUGAAGUGUAGAUUACGUAUAAUUUGUUCUACAACCAACAAUUCCUUUUUGGGGUUUCCACUAUUAAUUUUGGGGUCAUCCAAAGUUAGAAAAAAAAAAAAAAAAAAAAAAAAAAGAGUUUUCAUGGUAUCAAGAAUGAAGAUGAUUUUCAACCCUUGGUCUUCCAAUUGAGUGUUGAAAGAGAAAGUUGUAAUCUUUAAAUUUUAGAAAUUAGAUAGUAAUGUUAAAUAUGAAACCCGGCCCAUAUCAGCUGUUUUACUGGGAGCAACCUUCAUCCCAAGGAUGCUUAUAUGGUGCAACCAGUUAGGCACAAAGUAGAACAGCUGCGGUUUAGGAAAUAUAAGAGGAAAAAAAUCCUGAAUUUUCCUCGUUUAGGAGUUUUAAUUGGAAAGAAAAGAAAAGAGAGAUGAAUUGGGCUCCAAAUUUGGAAUGGAAAGGAAAGGAAUAAAAGUUUGGCUUAUACCUUGUAAACUUUAUCAAUAUGCUAAUUUCAUCCAUAACAUGGUAAAGAGCAAAAUAAUAGUACCCAAUGAAUCCAAAAUUAAUCAUUUUUUCCAUCUAAACUCCCAUUCAACAUGGAAUAAAGAACUCAUAUCUUUUCUUUUAUGCUCCUCAGAUAUUAUAUUCUACGGGAAAUACAACCGACAAUUAAUUCAAGCAUUUGCUAUCUUUAAAAGAAGGGGGUAAAAAAAAAAAAAAAAAACCAAACAUUUGUUAUCUGCAAAGCGUGGUAUCUGAUCAUCCUUUAGCAGGCAGAGUAACCUAAAGCAUUCUCAAUAGUUACUAAUUCAAUUUACCCACAGUACAGGCCAAUUAUAAUCAAUUUACUAUACACACGUGCCUCUAUUUGUCCCAUCCCCCCCCCCCCCCCCAAACAAAAACAAAAAAAAAAAAAAAAAAAGAUUGUGCCUCUGUACAUGUAAAUUUCAUUCCUGAAAAGAAGAUCAAGAAAAGUAAGAGUAUAGAAAUUACCGCAGAAAACCGGAUGCUAACUAUUGCUGGAGCCAUUGCCAAGACAGUUUCUUUACCCAGAAGCACGAAGAACUUCCGAAUGGAAUACUCAGUGGCUUGGAAAACAAAAAGAAGGCAUAUCCCAC
rnacentral:lncRNA from 1 species